AGCGAACGCUGGCGGCAGGCCUAACACAUGCAAGUCGAACGAACCCUUCGGGGUUAGUGGCGGACGGGUGGGUAACACGUGGGAACGUGCCUUUAGGUUCGGAAUAACUCAGGGAAACUUGUGCUAAUACCGAAUGUGCCCUUCGGGGGAAAGAUUUAUCGCCUUUAGAGCGGCCCGCGUCUGAUUAGCUAGUUGGUGAGGUAAUGGCUCACCAAGGCUACGAUCAGUAGCUGGUCUGAGAGGAUGACCAGCGACAUUGGGACUGAGACACGGCCCAAACUCCUACGGGAGGCAGCAGUGGGGAAUCUUGCGCAAUGGACGAAAGCCUGACGCAGCCAUGCCGCGUGGAUGAUGAAGGUCUUAGGAUUGUAAAAUCCUUUCACCGGUGAAGAUAAUGACUGUAGCCGGAGAAGAAGCCCCGGCUAACUUCGUGCCAGCCGCCGCCGUAAAAC
rnacentral:rRNA from 1 species